UAAGCGAGAAGUUCUGACCUAUUAAAUGGAUGGAAUUUAGGAUGGCAAUUCAAGCUUGUUGUUCGCGAGCCAACUCGUAUUUGAUUUGAAAUGAGAUCGAGAUCGAAUCACUAGUUUAGUAAACGAGCUGAACACGAGCUGAAUUUUUAACUCAUUUAAUAAACAAGCCGAAUAUGAACUAAAGUCAGCUUGCUCGUAUUCGGCUCGAUAGCAGCUCGAAUAUAUAUAUAUAUUAUUUAAUUUUUAGUUCGAUCUAAAUGUAAAAUCAAACUUAAUUAUUAAAAUGCUUAUUUAUAUGUAAAGUCUCAAUAAUUACAUCAAAAUCUAAUAGAUAAAUUUUAAAAAUUUAUUUUUUUUAUAUAUCAUUUUUAAUUAUUUUAAUUUAUUGUCCGUGAGCCAGCUCAUAUUCGGCUCGAUACCUUAACAAGCCAGCUCAUGUUCUGUUCACUUAUAAAACCAAUCGAACACAAGUCGACCCCAGCUGGCUCGUGUUUCGCUCUCAGAC
rnacentral:lncRNA from 1 species